rnacentral:misc_RNA from 1 species
CGCACAUUGCGCCUAUUGGUAUUCCAAUAGGCAUGCCUGUUCGAGCGUCAUUUAAACCUUUCAAGCCUGGCUUGGUGUUGGGUGCCUGUUCGCACUUUUUUUGGGCGAACUCACCUCGAAGAUAUUGGCAAACCGAUGAUGAGGUGUUGGGAGCGCAGCACAUUUUGCGACUCUUGGCCCAUGGAUUGUCGGGCGUCCACAAAGCUUAUUUUAACGUUUUGACCUCGGAUCAGGUAGGGAUACCCGCUGAACUUAA